rfam:Ovis aries breed Texel chromosome 12, whole genome shotgun sequence.
UCCCUGGUGGCUCAGAUGGUAAAGUGUCUUCCUGCAAUGCAGGAGACCCAGGUUCGAUCCCUGGAUCGGGAA